rnacentral:lncRNA from 1 species
AUACCUUUCGUCGGAGCCCUUCUGAAUGUCCGUUUGCGCUCAAAUUUGACAGUCAGGCUCGGUUUAACUUAAUAAGAAUAGAGAAAUUUUAAUCUUUCAGUUCCGACCAUUUUUGGUCCCCGAAAGCUCUACCGAACUAAAAUCUUUAGCAAAUAACAGUCAGAUUUUAUUUUUCACUUUCCGGGUGUCGGAAUGACAUGAAACUUUAAAUCUAGCUCAUAAAAAUAAUCCCGACAUAUUCCCAGAUUUUCAUAAUUUUCUGACACUGUGAAUUUUCUGCUAAAAUAUCUGUAACAUACCGAAACCUCGCUAAUUAAAUUCGAACCUUGAUCAAAUUAACCAAA